rnacentral:rRNA from 1 species
AGAGUUUGAUCCUGGCUCAGAAUCAACGCUGGCGGCGUGCCUAACACAUGCAAGUCGAACGAGAAGGUGGUAGCAAUACCAUGAGUAAAGUGGCGCACGGGUGAGUAACACGUGACUAACCUACCCUGGAGUGGGGGAUAACUGAGGGAAACCUUAGCUAAUACCGCAUAAUACCCACGGGUCAAAGGAGCAAUUCGCUCUGGGAGGGGGUCGCGGCCGAUUAGUUAGUUGGCGGGGUAACGGCCCACCAAGACGAUGAUCGGUAUCCGGCCUGAGAGGGCGCACGGACACACUGGAACUGAAACACGGUCCAGACUCCUACGGGAGGCAGCAGUGGGGAAUUUUGCGCAAUGGGGGAAACCCUGACGCAGCAACGCCGCGUGGAGGAUGAAGUCCUUCGGGACGUAAACUCCUUUCGAUCGGGACGAUUAUGACGGUACCGGAAGAAGAAGCCCCGGCUAACUUCGUGCCAGCAGCCGCGGUAAUACGAGGGGGGCGAGCGUUGUUCGGAAUUAUUGGGCGUAAAGGGUGCGUAGGCGGUUUGGUAAGUCUUAUGUGAAAUCUAUGGGCUCAACUCAUAGACUGCAUGAGAAACUGCCGGGCUUGAGUGUGGGAGAGGUGAGUGGAAUUUCCGGUGUAGCGGUGAAAUGCGUAGAUAUCGGAAGGAACACCUGUGGCGAAAGCGGCUCACUGGACCACAACUGACGCUGAUGCACGAAAGCUAGGGGAGCAAACAGGAUUAGAUACCCCCGUAGUCC